CCUACGGGGGGCUGCAGUGGGGAAUAUUGGACAAUGGGGGCAACCCUGAUCCAGUCAUGCCGCGUGUGUGAAGAAGGCCCUCGGGUUGUAAAGCACUUUCAGUGAGGAAGAACGCCUGGUGGUUAAUACCCAUCAGGAAAGACAUCACUCACAGAAGAAGCACCGGCUAACUCCGUGCCAGCAGCCGCGGUAAUACGGAGGGUGCGAGCGUUAAUCGGAAUUACUGGGCGUAAAGCGCGCGUAGGUGGCUUGAUAAGCCGGUUGUGAAAGCCCCGGGCUCAACCUGGGAACGGCAUCCGGAACUGUCAAGCUAGAGUGCAGGAGAGGAAGGUAGAAGUCCCGGUGUAGCGGUGAAAUGCGUAGAGAUCGGGAGGAAUACCAGUGGCGAAGGCGGCCUUCUGGACUGACACUGACACUGAGGUGCGAAAGCGUGGGUAGCAAACAGGAUUAGAUACCCCUGUAGUC
rnacentral:rRNA from 1 species